AGACCCGAAACCCGGUGAUCUAGCCAUGGGCAGGUUGAAGGUUGGGUAACACUAACUGGAGGACCGAACCGACUAAUGUUGAAAAAUUAGCGGAUGACCUGUGGCUGGGGGUGAAAGGCCAAUCAAACCGGGAGAUAGCUGGUUCUCCCCGAAAGCUAUUUAGGUAGCGCCUCGUGAAUUCAUCUCCGGGGGUAGAGCACUGUUUCGGCUAGGGGGCCAUCCCGGCUUACCAACCCGAUGCAAACUGCGAAUACCGGAGAAUGUUAUCACGGGAGACACACGGCGGGUGCUAACGUCCGUCGUGAAGAGGGAAACAACCCAGACCGCCAGCUAAGGUCCCAAAGUCAUAGUUAAGUGGGAAACGAUGUGGGAAGGCCCAGACAGCCAGGAUGUUGGCUUAGAAGCAGCCAUCAUUUAAAGAAAGCGUAAUAGCUCACUGGUCGAGUCGGCCUGCGCGGAAGAUGUAACGGGGCUAAACUAUGCACCGAAGCUGCGGCAGCGACACUAUGUGUUGUUGGGUAGGGGAGCGUUCUGUAAGCCUGUGAAGGUGUGUCGUGAGGC
rnacentral:rRNA from 1 species